AUUAAACUGAAGAGUUUGAUCAUGGCUCAGAUUGAACGCUGGCGGUAUGCUUAACACAUGCAAGUCGAACGGUAACAGCAGAAGCUUGCUUCUGGCUGACGAGUGGCGGACGGGUGAGUAACGC
rnacentral:rRNA from 1 species